GUAGGAACUUCGCGUUCCCACCCUCCAGGGGAGGAGAUUGGAUCAGGCGCCAGCCUUGAGGUGUCUGAUUGGAGAAAAGCUGUGCAGUGCCGCUCCCCCGACCGACUCCUUGAGAAGAAACGGCGGAGACCUGAGACCCGGAGGCUGAGGCUGUAGGUGGGCUCCGCUGGGUAAAAGUUGCCGCAGCAGCUGUCCCUUGGCCCCAUCGCGAUUUAUUUUUCCCCCUUGCUUUCCGGGUCCCGGGAUCCCAAGUUUGUAACUAACGGGAGCGAAUCCACACCCGAGCAAAAUGUUUGCGAGUUUCAGGCGCCCUUAGUUGAAAGGCUGUAAUUAACAAGUCCGCUGUUUGCCAGCCAGGCGCCGUUGCAGGCGCUUUCUGUGGAUUGUCAUUUAUUUCUCACAGCAACCCUAGGAGAUGAAAUUGAAUCAUGGAAGAAUGCCUUUAUCUGAGGAGUCAUCACCACUAGGGAGCUAUGGAGGCUGUUAUCCUUGACAUCUGCAGCAGCCCUUCCAAGCUGUGGAGACCAGGUCAUCUGGAAUGCCCAUUUAUGUCAAUGGAAGAAAGAAAAAGGGGUCUCCUCCCAUCCUCACCACUGCAUUCUCCCACCAACCCUGCUCCUGUCCCACUUCCCACAACUCAGUUGUUGACAAUUUAACAGUGGGUUUCUGGAAACAGUGCUGCCUCCUUGAUGGUCUAACUAACUACCAGAGUUAUUCUAACAGCAGGAAUUUCAAGCCAGCAAACCAGACAUACAUAGGAGGCACAGCAAAAGACCCAAGGUGAGGGGCUUCCCUCACCUUCACCCUUGUUCUCACGUGGAGGUGGCGCAUGUCUAUGAGACACAGUACCCCACUCAGCGAUCCUCUGCAGUCCAGGAAAUUCUAGCACUUGCUUGGAAAACAAAUCAAGUGCGUCUCAUUCUGUUGCCCAGGAUGGAGUACAGUGGUGCCAUCUUCGCUCACUGCAGCCUUCGUCUCCCGGGUUCAAGCAAUUCUCCUGUCUCAGCCUCCCAAGUAGCUGGGAUUACAGACCCAUCAAGCCUUCAGAUAAGACUGCAGCCUCAUUACAGACCUUGAACUGGAGGCAGCCAGCUGAGUCACACCUGGAUUCCUGACCCUUAGAAACUAUGAGAUAAUAAAUGUUUACAGUUUUAAGCCACUAAGUUUCG
rnacentral:lncRNA from 1 species